rnacentral:rRNA from 1 species
CUACGUGCCAGCAGCCGCGGUAAUACGGAAGGUCCAGGCGUUAUCCGGAUUUAUUGGGUUUAAAGGGAACGUAGGCUGGAGAUUAAGUGUGUUGUGAAAUGUAGACGCUCAACGUCUGAAUUGCAGCGCAUACUGGUUUCCUUGAGUACGCACAACGUUGGCGGAAUUCGUCGUGUAGCGGUGAAAUGCUUAGAUAUGACGAAGAACUCCGAUUGCGAAGGCAGCUGACGGGAGCGCAACUGACGCUUAAGCUCGAAGGUGCGGGUAUCAAACAGGAUUAGAUACCCUGGUAGUCCGCACAGUAAACGAUGUAUACUCGCGGUUUGCGAUAGAGUGUAAGCCGCCAAGCGAAAGCAUUAAGUAUACCACCUGGGGAGUACGCCGGCAACGGUGAAACUCAAAGGAAUUGACGGGGGCCCGCACAAGCGGAGGAACAUGUGGUUUAAUUCGAUGAUACGCGAGGAACCUUACCCGGGCU